ensembl:lncRNA
AUAUAUAUAUGAAUCCCCCUGGGAAGGGCAGGCAGGCACUUCUUUCCCUGUGCCUGCUAGCAUGCCAGGACACUGCCUGUUCCUCUCCCCAUCUGGGAAUCCACCGAUGUGGCUACAAAGCCCAGGUUCAGGAUCAGGCACAAGUAUGCCCUGGCCUGGACCUCAGUGAUUGGACAUCCCUGGGAUACACCUGGUGCAUACCUGGAGCGUACCUUCCAGGCUUCCGGCCACUAGUCCAUCUUGAUCCUGCUCAACCAGUGUCAGAAGGACAACAGGCAUCUGAAUGGAAUCACUUUUCCUGCUGAAACACAAAAUUGGGAACACGCACGGGGUGCUCACUACAGGCCAGGCCUGAUCCUCAGCACUUCACACUCAUUAUGGACUCACAACCGCCAGUGCUGCUGGCCAAGAAUGGUGCUUCCUGCCCAUCCUGUGGGUGAGGUCAUGUGACUAGUUCUAACCAAAGAGCUGUGAGUGAAACUGACACAUAUUAUUCCCAUGCUAGAGCUUAGGGACCCCAUGGACUGCAGCCUACCAGGCUCCUCCAUCCAUGGGAUUUUCCAGGCAAGAGUACUGGAGUGGGGUGCCAUUGCCUUCUCCAAAUUGCCUGUGCAGGAACUUCCAAAGCUCUUAUUUCCUUCUGGUGUGACAGCCAGAAAUGUUCCAGAAUGUGAAUGCUCCACUAAUGACUAUGAUGUGCAAAGCCUCCCCUCAAUGACCCAAAAUAGACAUAAAAC